GCAUCGAUGAAGAACGCAGCAAAAUGUGAUAAGUAAUGUGAAUUGCAGAAUUUAGUGAAUCAUCGAAUCUUUGAACGCAAAUGGCGCUCUUGGGCAAUCCCAGGAGCACGUCUGUCUGAGCGUCGUUUCUCACAUCCAGUCUCUCACGAGACCGGGCCAUGAGGCGUCCCUUUGCGAGAGCGAACGGUCCCUUGAAGUAGAGCGAUCCCGAGCGUGCGGAUGCCAGUCGUGGCCCGUUCCCUCGGUGUGGUAGUGAUAUCUCACCAGAAGGACGAGCGACGGCUUUCGGCAAAAGCUAGUUCUCGAACGACCGGAAAGGAAGCUUUCUAUUUCGGUAGAACUGCUGACCAACCAAGACCUCAGAUCAGGCGAGACUACCCGCUGAACUUAAGCAUAUCAAUAAGCGGAGGA
rnacentral:rRNA from 1 species